AUACGUAGGGUCGCGAGCGUUAAUCGGAAUUACUGGGCGUAAAGCGUGCGCAGGCGGUUUUGUAAGACAGAGGUGAAAUCCCCGGGCUCAACCUGGGAACUGCCUUUGUGACUGCAAGGCUAGAGUGCGGCAGAGGGGGAUGGAAUUCCGCGUGUAGCAGUGAAAUGCGUAGAUAUGCGGAGGAACACCGAUGGCGAAGGCAACCCCCUGGGCCUGUACUGACGCUCAUGCACGAAAGCGUGGGGAGC
rnacentral:rRNA from 1 species